rnacentral:rRNA from 1 species
CAGCCGCCGCGGGAAUACGUAGGUGGCAAGCGUUGUCCGGAAUUAUUGGGCGUAAAGCGCGCGCAGGCGGUUUCUUAAGUCUGAUGUGAAAGCCCCGGCUUAACCGGGGAGGGUCAUUGGAAACUGUUUAACUUGAGUGCAGAAGAGGAGAGUGGAAUUCCACGUGUAGCGGUGAAAUGCGUAGAGAUGUGGAGGAACACCAGUGGCGAAGGCGACUCUCUGGUCUGUGACUGACGCUGAGGAGCGAAAGCGUGGGGAGCGAACAGGAUUAGAUACCCCUGUAGUCCCUGUCUCUUAUACA